CCAUCAGCCGACGCCAGCGCCACCGUCACAGUCCAUCCCCCCAGUCCAACACCCUCAACACCCUGACCGCAACACACAGAAUCACAAGUUCUGUCCUCCUUAUGAUGCUGGACUGCAAGGAGGAACUCAAUACUGCACUGAGGCCUUUAUAGGAGAAGCUGGAGAUCUUUAAAGAAGUCAAACUGAACUCCUGUGACUCUGGACCAUAACACAGCAGAAUCUCAACUCAUCCUGUCCGAAGAGAUACAGUGACGAGAGAGAACACACAUUCUG